rnacentral:rRNA from 1 species
AAUAGCAUAUCAAUAAGCGGAGGAAAAGAAACCAACAGGGAUUGCCCUAGUAACGGCGAGUGAAGCGGCAACAGCUCAAAUUUGAAAUCUGGCCUCGGCCCGAGUUGUAAUUUGCAGAGGAUGUUUCUGGCGCGGUGCCUUCCGAGUUCCCUGGAACGGGACGCCACAGAGGGUGAGAGCCCCGUAUGGUUGGACACCAAGCCUGUGUGAAACUCCUUCGACGAGUCGAGUAGUUUGGGAAUGCUGCUCAAAAUGGGAGGUAAAUCUCUUCUAAAGCUAAAUACCGGCCAGAGACCGAUAGCGCACAAGUAGAGUGAUCGAAAGAUGAAAAGCACCUUGAAAAGGGGGUUAAACAGUACGUGAAAUUGUUGAAAGGGAAGCACUUGUGACCAGACUUGUGCCGGGCGGUUCAUCCGGGGUUCUCCCCGGUGCACUCCGCCCGGUAUAGGCCAGCAUCGGUUCUUUCUGGGGGACAAGAACGGUGGGAACGUGGCCCUCCCUCGGGAGGGUGUUAUAGCCCGCCGUACGAUACCCUGGAGGGGACCGAGGUUCGCGCUCCGCAAGGAUGCUGGCGUAAUGGUCACCAGUGACCCGUCUUGAAACACGGACCAAGGAGUCGUCCAUUAGAGCGAGCGUUUGGGUGUCAAACCCGCACGCGUAAUGAAAGUGAAAUUAGGUGAGAGCUUCGGCGCAUCAUCGACCGAUCCUGAUGUUCUCGGAUGGAUUUGAGUAAGAGUUUUAACGGACGGACCCGAAAGACAGUGAACUAUGCUUGUAUAGGGUGAAGCCAGAGGAAACUCUGGUGGAGGCUCGCAGCGGUUCUGACGUGCAAAUCGAUCGUCAAAUAUGAGCAUGGGGGCGAAAGACUAAUCGAACC